AGGGUUUGAUCCUGGCUCAGAGCGAACGCUGGCGGCGUGGUUUAGGCAUGCAAGUUGAGCGCGAAAGUGGACUUCGGUCUGCGAGUAAAGCAGCGGAAGGGUGAGUAAUGCAUGGGUAACCUACCCCUGACUCCGGUAUAGCGUCUGGAAACGGACGGUAAUCCCGGAUAGCCUCGGAGGGGGGCAUCUUUCUCCGAGUAAAGAUGGGGAUCUUUUUGACCUUUUGGUCAGGGAGGGGCCCAUGUCCCAUCAGCUUGUUGGUGAGGUAACGGCUCACCAAGGCACUGACGGGUAGCCGGACUGAGAGGUUGGCCGGUCACACUGGGACUGAGACACUGCCCAGACUCCUACGGGAGGCUGCAGUCGAGGAUCUUCCGCAAUGGGCGAAAGCCUGACGGAGCGACGCCGCGUGAAGGAUGAAGGCCUUCGGGUUGUAAACUUCUGUCAGGGGUUAGGAAUUGCGUAGCGUUAAUAGCGCUGCGUUUUGACAAAGGCCCCAAAGGAAGCCACGGCUAACUCUGUGCCAGCAGCCGCGGUAAUACAGAGGUGGCAAGCGUUGCUCGGAAUCACUGGGCAUAAAGGGCGUCUAGGCGGAUGAGCAAGUUGGUUGUGAAAUCCCUCGGCUUACCCGAGGAAGUGCAACCAAAACUGCCUGUCUUGAGGACGAGAGGGGAGAGUGGAACUCCUGGUGGAGCGGUGAAAUGCGUAGAUAUCAGGAGGAACGCCGGUGGCGAAAGCGACUCUCUGGCUCGUUACUGACGCUGAAGCGCGAAAGCUAGGGGAGCGAACGGGAUUAGAUACCCCGGUAGUCCUAGCCGUAAACGAUGAGCACUAAGUAGUGGUACUUCGAUGGUGUCACUGCCGUAGCUAAUGUGUUAAGUGCUCCGCCUGGGGAGUAUGGUCGCAAGGCUAAAACUCAAAGUAAUUGACGGGGGCUCACACAAGCGGUGGAGGAUGUUGCUUAAUUCGAACCAACGCGAAGAACCUUACCUGGACUUGACAUCGCUGUGGUAGGACCCUGAAAGGGGAACGACCCGGGGAAACUCGGGAGCAGUGACAGGUGUUGCAUGGCUGUCGUCAGCUCGUGCCGUGAGGUGUCGGGUUAAGUCCCUUAACGAGCGAAACCCUUGUCGCUAGUUGCUAGCGGGUAAUGCCGAGGACUCUAGCGAGACUGCCGGUGUCAAACCGGAGGAAGGUGGGGAUGACGUCAAGUCAUCAUGGCCCUUACGUCCAGGGCUGCAAACGUCCUACAAUGGCGCGUACAAAGGGAAGCGAUCCCGCAAGGGGGAGCCAAUCCCACAAAGCGCGUCCCAGUCCGGAUUGUGGGCUGAAAUUCGCCCACAUGAAGUCGGAAUCGCUAGUAAUCGCGGAUCAGCAUGCCGCGGUGAAUAUGUUCCUGAGCCUUGUACACACCGCCCGUCAAGCCACGGAAGCCGGGAGUGCCCGAAGCACGUGACCCAACCCCUCGGGGAGGGAGCGUUCGACGGUAAGCCCGGUGACUGGGACUAAGUCGUAACAAGGUA
rnacentral:rRNA from 1 species